rnacentral:misc_RNA from 1 species
CUCACCACCGCCUCCAUCAUCAAAGCCACCUGAAAACUCACCACCUCCACCAUCAUCAAAACCACCAGAAAACUCACCGCCGCCUCCAUCAUCAAAACCACCUGAAAACUCACCACCGCCUCCAUCAUCAAAGCCACCUGAAAACUCACCACCUCCACCAUCAUCAAAACCACCAGAAAACUCACCGCCGCCUCCAUCAUCAAAACCACCUGAAAAAUCACCGCCACCUGCCAAUUCAUCCCCACCAACAGUAUCUGUGCCACCUCCCAAAAGUUCACCUUCACCUGCAAAUUCGCCUCCUCCUCCAGCUUCAACCCCUCCGAAAAGUUCACCUCCUACAAAUUCACCUCCUCCAUCAGCAUCAACACCACCAAAAGAUUCACCUCCUCCACCAGCGUCAACACUACCCACAGAUUCACCUUCUCCACCAACAUCAAUAGCCCCUACUCCCAGUAAUUCACCAUCAAAUUCUACUAAAGCAUCACCCCCAUCACCAGUGAUGAGAUUGAGUCCACUUCCUUCCUCAUUCAAUUCUCCACCAUCUUCUUCUCCUCCCUUAUCUGACAACAAUACCUUUCCUAGUGCACCAGAAAGUUCAAAAUUAACAGGUAGUGGAGGCAUUGGUACUGGAGGUAUAGUCGCCAUUGGUGUAGCAGUAGGUGUCAUAAUGCUCAGCCUUGUUGGGUUGGCUGUCUGGUGCUUCAGGAAGCGAAGGAAAGAGGCACUUGGGCACAAUGGUGGUUAUGUUAUGCCAUCUCCUCUGGGCUCUUCCCCUAGAUCAGAUUCAAAUUUCACGAAGACACACUCUACAGCUCCCCUAAUGGGAAGUGGUUCUAGUAAUGAUAUUUUUGUUUAUUCACCAAGUGAUCCUGGUGGAUUAGGCAAUUCAAGGUCAUGGUUUACAUAUGAAGAACUACUCAAGGCAACAAAUGGAUUUUCAUCCCAAAAUCUUUUGGGGGAGGGUGGGUUUGGUUCUGUAUACAAAGGCUGCCUACCUGAUGGAAGGGAGGUGGCAGUAAAACAGCUUAAAGUUGGUGGAGGACAGGGUGAACGAGAAUUUAAGGCAGAGGUUGAGAUUAUUAGUCGAAUACACCAUCGCCAUUUGGUUUCACUUGUGGGUUACUGCAUCUCUGAGAACCGAAGAUUGCUUGUAUAUGACUACGUGCCUAACAAUACCCUUCAUUUCCAUCUUCAUGGGGAAGGUAGGCCAGUUCUGGAUUGGGCAACACGUGUUAAGAUUGCUGUUGGUGCAGCUCGUGGGAUAGCUUAUCUCCAUGAAGACUGUCAUCCUCGGGUAAUACACAGGGAUAUUAAGUCAUCGAACAUACUUUUGGAUAACAAUUUUGAAGCCAAGGUUUCAGACUUUGGGCUUGCAAAGUUAGCUCUUGAUGCAAAUACACAUGUGACCACACGUGUUAUGGGCACCUUCGGAUACAUGGCCCCUGAAUAUGCAUCAAGCGGCAAAUUAACUGAGAAAUCUGAUGUAUUCUCAUAUGGAGUUGUUCUUUUGGAGCUAAUCACUGGACGGAAGCCCGUGGAUGCAUCCCAACCCUUGGGAGAUGAGAGUCUUGUUGAAUGGGUAAAUAAUUUGAUAUCAAACUUCUUGUUACUGUUCUACUGCUGAGGAAAACCUCAUUUAAAUUUCCUCAAUCUUUCAUCCUUUAUUUCAUCAUGGAUAAAUGAUCCACUUCAAUUAUUCCUUUUGGAAGUUGAACCUCUUUUAGUAAUAACAUUGGAUUCGAAUCAUACAAUAUUUUCACCUGUGUUAUAUCUUCUUGCUAUGAUGCUUAUUUUUGCUUGGUGCGGACUUCCAUUGCUGAUGCUACAGCUCUUCUUUUAGAACCUUAGAUAUAGAAGUCAUAAAAACAAAAUGAUAUUCUGCUUUUAGUACCAAAACUUGAAGGGUUUAUAUGUGGAUGUUGAUAGAAUGACACAAGGGCUGAGAGAACAAAUGCUGAAGAAACUUGGUUCCUAACUUCCUAUUUACACGCAUUAUGGUUUAUAUUCAAGAAACAGUUAAUAAACAAGGCAUUGUGCAGACUCUGCUUAUUAUAUACGCUGUUUUUUUUUAAUAGAGAAAAAUCUCAGUUAAUGGAAAAUAAUAAGUCAUCCUUUUUUUUUCUUUUGUUGAAUGUGUGUGUAUUUUGGAUGGGUUUAACCCAUUGGGUGCUGCAGAAUUUUGCUUAGCAUUGUAUCUAGUGCAAAAUUGUGAAAUUCCAAAUGUCAAAGUUGUAAAAUAUAACUGCACAGAGGUGAAACAAUGGUAUGCCUGGAAUUAAGUAAAUCUUUGCAUUGAUUCAAAACUUUGAUCUUCACCAAGCUCCCACCCUUUUCUUCAGGCUCGGCCUUUGCUUGGCCAUGCACUAGCCAAUGAGGAAUUUGAUGAUUGGGUUGAUCCAAGGCUUGAAAAGAACUAUGAUGAAAGUGAAAUGUUUAGAAUGAUUGAGGCUGCUGCAGCCUGUGUGCGGCAUUCAGCUGCCAGGAGGCCACGGAUGGGACAGGUUGUUAGAGCAUUCAAUAGUUUAGCCACUGCAGAUCUAAGCAAUGGAAUGAGAGUUGGGGAAAGUGAGGUAUUCAACUCAGCAGAACAGUCUGCAGAAAUUAGAUUAUUUCGGAGGAUGGCAUUUGGUAGUCAAAAUUACAGUACGGAUUUUUUUACCCAAGGCAGUGUGGAUAGUUAAGAGAACAUGGUGAAUAUUAUUAGCAGAGAUGAAUACAUCUAUUGUCAGUGGGUUUUGUCCAGUUGAGAUGGUGCCCCAUGCAAGUUCAAGCUGAUUUAGUCGGAGACAGGCUGAGCACCUUUAGAUAUACGGGAUGUAUAUAUCUGGAAUGACUGCAUCUGGCAUGGGGACUGGAUUUUAAACCCCAAUUACUAGUUAUUAGGUAAUUUUAGCUUUUGCGUAUAAAAGAUGCUGCGAUUCUUUUUGCUUGUAACUAGCUCAUGCAAAUUUUGUUCCUGCAUAGUUUUAAUAAGAUAACGAUUCAAUUUUGUUUGUUUCUUCUAUGAGUACCUUAAGACCUGUGCUGUUAUCACUUAUCAGGUGUUUGUUGAGGUUCCCAAUAUCACAGCACCUUUCUUUCUCGUGGUCAUGGAUGGCAAAUCAUU